UCACUCUGGUUUCUCUUUAAUCCACGUUUUAAAUCUUUCGACUUUUACUAAAGAUUUCCGUGGAGAGGAACAUCUAAUGAGUCUAUAGACUUAUUUCUCCAACCCUGAUUUCAUUCAGGGU